rnacentral:misc_RNA from 1 species
GAUGAAGAACGCAGUGAAAUGCGAUAAUUAAUGUGAAUUGCAGAAUUCAGUGAAUCAUCGAGUCUUUGAACGCACAUUGCGCCCCCUGGUAUUCCGGGGGGCAUGCCUGUCCGAGCGUCAUUGCUGCCCUCAAGCACGUCUUGUGUGUUGGGCUUCCGUCCCUGGCAACGGGGACGGGCCCAAACGGCAGUGGCGGCACCAUGUCUGGUCCUCGAGCGUAUGGGGCUUUGUCACCCGCUCCCGUAGGUCCAGCUGGCAGCUAGCCUCGCAACCAAUCUUUUUAACCAGGUUGACCUCGGAUCAGGUAGGGAUACCCGCUGAACUUAAGCAUAUCAAUAAGCGGAGGA